rnacentral:rRNA from 1 species
CAACGCGAAAACCUUACCUACCCUUGACAUGGAAGGAAUCCCUGAGAGAUUGGGGAGUGCCCGAAAGGGAACCUUUACACAGGUGCUGCAUGGCUGUCGUCAGCUCGUGUCGUGAGAUGUUGGGUUAAGUCCCGCAACGAGCGCAACCCUUGUCAUUAGUUGCUACGCAAGAGCACUCUAAUGAGACUGCCGGUGACAAACCGGAGGAAGGUGGGGAUGACGUCAAGUCCUCAUGGCCCUUAUGGGUAGGGCUUCACACGUCAUACAAUGGUACAUACAGAGGGCCGCCAACCCGCGAGGGGGAGCUAAUCCCAGAAAGUGUAUCGUAGUCCGGAUUGUAGUCUGCAACUCGACUACAUGAAGUUGGAAUCGCUAGUAAUCGCGGAUCAGCAUGUCGCGGUGAAUACGUUCCCGGGUCUUGUACACACCGCCCGUCACACCAUGGGAGCGGGUUUUACCAGAAGUAGGUAGCUUAACCGCAAGGAGGGCGCUUACCACGGUAGGAUUCGUGACUGGGGUGAAGUCGUAACAAGGUAAGCGUAGCGAG